rnacentral:rRNA from 1 species
AUUGAACGCUGGCGGCAGGCCUAACACAUGCAAGUCGAACGGUAACAGGAAGCAGCUUGCUGCUUUGCUGACGAGUGGCGGACGGGUGAGUAAUGUCUGGGAAACUGCCUGAUGGAGGGGGAUAACUACUGGAAACGGUAGCUAAUACCGCAUAACGUCGCAAGACCAAAGAGGGGGACCUUCGGGCCUCUUGCCAUCGGAUGUGCCCAGAUGGGAUUAGCUAGUAGGUGGGGUAACGGCUCACCUAGGCGACGAUCCCUAGCUGGUCUGAGAGGAUGACCAGCCACACUGGAACUGGGACACGGUCCAGAAUCCUACGGGAGGCAGCAGUGGGGAAUAUUGCACUAAGGGCGCAAGCCUGAUGCAGCCAUGCCGCGUGUAUGAAGAAGGCCUUCGGGUUGUAAAGUACUUUCAGCGGGGAGGAAGGGAGUAAAGUUAAUACCUUUGCUCAUUGACGUUACCCGCAGAAGAAGCACCGGCUAACUCCGUG